GGCCAAAUCAGAGCUGGUGGUAGUCGCUACGGCUGCUCCUCCGUCAGCAAGGGCUGCAAGUCGUACGUCCACGUCGACAAGAAUGACGUCAUACUGCACUACGUCACAGAACACAACCACAAGCCAGACCAGUACUUCGUGACCAAGAGUGGGCAUUACGUGAAAGUUAAAUAUUUCAGUGUUACCAUUCCUCAAUUUGGCGCGAAGUGUAGCGGACUCUUAUAAUUUGCGCUUCGUGAAGACGUCCACUGGUGGGAACUUGCUCAUAUACAACGGAUACACGUACAGCAAGAAUGGACACAUCAGGAAAGGUGGCACUAGGUUCGCGUGCUCCAAGCUGCAGAAGCAGUGCAAAGCCCACCUGCACCUAGCGAACAGCGGGGAGAUUCUGAAGGCCGAGGAAGACCACAACCACCCGCCGCCAGGAUUCUACAUCACCAAGGACGGGUACUUCAUCAAGACGGAUACCGCUCGACCGAGAGACAUGGAUCGAAUUUUUGGUACUGGGAUGAUGCCUCGGUAAUGAAAUAAAAACAAAAGAAAAAAUACGUGUCUAAUAUUUUCUGUCUGAUAGACUAAAUAUUUUUUUUUUAUUAUAGUUAAACCUAUUAGGGCUGUUCCGCCAGCAUGUUUGAAAAUACAGAUUUAUUUCUUGAAUGGAAGGUAGAUAUCUGGAUCACCACACUAUUUGUACUUAUAAAUAAAAGAGUGAAGAGAGAACAUAAAGAAAAAGUGAAUUCAAUACAUAGGUAGUUAAUGCAGGGAAUGAACCAGUAAAGUCGAGAUACUUACUGUUAAAAUGCUGUUCCUCCAUAGAUUUUGUAAAUACCUAUACUAUUGUCUUAGUCAUUAUCCUAUUGUAUGUCUGGAGUCAUAUGUAGAUUCUAUUUUACAGAUUAUUUCUUUAUUUUA